rnacentral:rRNA from 1 species
ACGGGGGGAGCAAGCGUUGUUCGGAUUUACUGGGCGUAAAGGGCGCGUAGGCGGCGUAACAAGUCACUUGUGAAAUCUCCGGGCUUAACCCGGAGCGGCCAAGUGAUACUGUUGUGCUAGAGUGCGGAAGGGGCUACUGGAAUUCUCGGUGUAGCGGUGAAAUGCGUAGAUAUUGGGAAGAACACCUGAGGCGAAGGCGGGAUGCUGGGCCGACACUGACGCUGAGGCGCGAAAGCCAGGGGAGCAAACGGGA